rnacentral:rRNA from 1 species
UACGGAGGGUGCAAGCGUUAUCCGGAUUCACUGGGUUUAAAGGGUGCGUAGGCGGGCUAGUAAGUCAGUGGUGAAAUCCCCGAGCUUAACUUGGGAACUGCCGUUGAUACUAUUAGUCUUGAAUAUCGUGGAGGUAAGCGGAAUAUGUCAUGUAGCGGUGAAAUGCUUAGAUAUGACAUAGAACACCAAUUGCGAAGGCAGCUUGCUACACGAUUAUUGACGCUGAGGCACGAAAGCGUGGGGAUCAAACAGG